rnacentral:lncRNA from 1 species
GACACCUUCUUACUACUCUUCACCUUAUUGUGACCAUUCCAUGUAGUCGUCUUGUUUUUUUUCUCCCGGUCAUCAGCCAUCAUAUUCUUGUUGCUGCUGGCUCUCCCUUCCUUUUGCUUUCCCAUCUCCAAGAUGGCAGCAGUGGAUGUCUUCCCGUUCGUCACCCCCACUGACACCACCCCUCAUUUUGUUUCCCUCCUCAUCGUCAUCACCACCCCGUUUGGCAGGUCUUCCCGACCGGCUUCACCACGGGCUUCUGGUGAAGCCCUGCCAAAGGGGUGACGAAGAAACGGCUUCACCACGGGAGC